rnacentral:miRNA from 12 species
AAUGAGGUUGCAAUGUGCUAAUCCCUUUGGACUGAAGCAAUUAUCACCUGACUGCUAGGUGUUAAAUGCUGCAUUACAAGGGGAUUAU